rnacentral:lncRNA from 7 species
AAUGCCGCCGGUUCGAAUCCCGCGUCCCCGACCGCGCCUCGCUGAGCUGUUCCCAUCCAAAAGCUCGGAGCACACGGGCAAAACCAUUCAUUGCUUCCACUCUGAACAAGAACCGAAAUCCUCACCCUCUGAAACUGCUCUGAUUGACUGCGAUGAAACAAAGCGUAUUGCCUAAAGAAACCAUUGUCUGUUUUCCUGCAGCUUAGAUGACAAGCCUGGCAUGGUCAGCAGGCAGCAAGCGCUCUGGGAGUCGUGGUUUGCAUGAGUUUGUGAGGAGAUGACACAAAGCUAGAGCAUAGAAAGCUGCACAGAUCCCAAAACACCCUUAGGAUUCAACCAUUAAUCCUUCUGUGUUGUUUUCUGUUCUAUUCCUGUGGAGAAUGAUGUGAUUUGAAGGUCAGCUUUUCUACAGACCCACUUGUGCUAGAAGAAAUUCUGUGUGCCACUGCAAAGUGAGGCUGGGAUUCCUCAGUGUUCACCAGCACAGGGAAGAACUUAUUUUCCAAGAUCUUGGUGAGAUAUUAAACAGGAAGAAAACUGUACAUCAGGCCAACAAAUGUCUGUACUUCCUACCAAAGAAACUUAGGAACUCUGCACUCUCACUUCAUAACAGCCACUAUGAAGAGGAUUAUAGAUUGAAUACGGAUGAGAGCAGUUCUGGUGUUUCUUUCCAGGAAGGGCUGCUUUCACACCCUCUAUGUUGCAAGAGCUGGGCAGGAUUGCUUAUUUUCCAUCGGCUCUUGUUGUGCUUGGAUCAGUCAGCCUUAGGGACUGGGAAGCGCACGGUGCACGCAGCUCGGCUUUUGUAACUGGUAAUUUGGUUUGGAAAUGUUAUCCAAACAAACAGCAGGAUGAGAGUUAAGACCUGUGCAGAAUCUGCUCCGUCAGAAACGAGUUCAGAGUCAGUUCUGCCUGCCUAAACAUUUCGCCCAACAGCUCAUUAAAAUGGAAAUAUUCAAAGGAGACUUUUCCCCCCCGAUUAGAUCGUUCCUUUGAUAAGAGCAUUAACGAGCAUAUUUUCCCAUAAAUAAAAUGAACAAGCCUCGAGGGCAG